AGAGUAAUAGUUUAAUUAAAACAUUAAGCUGCAAACUUAAAAUUGGCUUACGUCUUACUCAU
rnacentral:tRNA from 1 species